CAAGCUACUAAGAGCAUAGGGUGAAUGCCUAGGCACCAGAAGGCGAAGAAGGACGUGGUAAGCUGCGAAAAGCUGCGGUGAGGCGCAAACAGCCAUCGACCCGCAGAUGUCCGAAUGGGGGAACCCACCUGAGGUAAAUGCUCAGGUACUGCUACAUGAAUCCAUAGUGUAGCAGGGCGAGACGUGGGGAACUGAAACAUCUAAGUACCCACAGGAAAAGAAAUCAACCGAGAUUCCGUAAGUAGUGGCGAGCGAAAGCGGAAGAGCCCAAACCAAUCUAUAGCAAUAUAGGUUGGGGUUGCGGACUGGCGAAAUGAUUCUCUGAGCUUAGCAGAAGUAACCAGGAAAGGUUACACCAUAGAGGGUAAAAGUCCCGUAUGCGAAAAGUGAGGAGACAGGCCAGGAUCCAGAGUACCACGAGGCACGUGAAACCUUGUGGGAAGCAGGGGGGACCACCCUCCAAGGCUAAAUACUAACUGGUGACCGAUAGUGGAGAAGUACCGUGAGGGAAAGGUGAAAAGAACCCCGGGAGGGGAGUGAAAGAGAACCUGAAACCCUAUGUUUACAAGCAGUUGGAGAGCGUUAAGGCUCGACAGCGUACUUUUUGUAGAACGGUCCGGCGAGUUAUUGUAUGUGGCGAGGUUAAGUACUGAAGGUACGGAGCCGAAGGGAAACCGAGUCUGAAGAGGGCGUAAAGUCGCAUGCAAUAGACCCGAAACCGGGUGACCUAUCCAUGGACAGGUUGAAGCGAGAGUAAAGUCUCGUGGAGGACCGAACUCAUAACCGUUGAAAAGGUUUGGGAUGAGCUGUGGAUAGCGGAGAAAUUCCAAUCGAACUCGGAGAUAGCUGGUUCUCCCCGAAAUAGCUUUAGGGCUAGCCUCAAGUAUGUCUAACGGAGGUAAAGCACUGAAUGGGCUAGGGGCCUUACCGGGUUACCGAACCCUAUCAAACUCUGAAUGCCGUAUAGAUUUAGCUUGGGAGUCAGACUACGAGAGAUAAGUUCCGUAGUCGAGAGGGAAACAGCCCAGACCAUCAGCUAAGGUCCCAAAAUCACAGUUAAGUGGGAAAGGAUGUGGGUUUGCUAAGACAACUAGGAUGUUGGCUUAGAAGCAGCCAUUCAUUCAAAGAGUGCGUAAUAGCUCACUAGUCGAGUGAACCUGCGCCGAAAAUGUCCGGGGCUCAAACUGUGUACCGAAGCUGUGGCUUUGUGUGUGUUCACUGGUGUAUCUUAACAGAGGUAGAUUGUGUUAAGGGGCAGCAGUGAACACACACGAGGGGUAGGGGAGCUUACUAUGGUAGGUAGAAGCAUGACCGGAAGGACAUGUGGACGAGAUAGUAGUGAGAAUGCCGGAAUAAGUAGCGAGAGUGAAGUGAGAAUCUUUACCGUCGAAAAUCUAAGGUUUCCUGGGGAAGGUUCGUCCGCCCAGGGUAAGUCGGGACCUAAGCUGAGGCCGAAAGGCGUAGGCGAUGGGGAACAGGUUGAAAUUCCUGUACUACCGCUGCUCGUUUGAGAGAAGUGGGGACGCAGGGGGAUAGGUCAAGCGAGUGACUGGAAGAGCUCGUCCAAGCGGCAAGUAGAGUCCGGUAGGCAAAUCCGCCGGAUGAUUAUGAGCCGUGACGGGGAGGGAAAAUAUAGUACCGAAGUGACCGAUUUCGCACUGACGAGAAAAGCCACUAUCGAGAGUAGAGGUACCCGUACCGCAAACCGACACAGGUAGAUGAGGAGAGAAUCCUAAGACGAGCGGGAGAAGCGUUGUUAAGGAACUCGGCAAAUUGACCCCGUAAGUUCGCGAGAAGGGGUGCCUGUGAGAGCAGGCCGCAGAGAAUAGGCCCAAGCAACUGUUUAUCAAAAACACAGGUCUCUGCUAAAUCGAAAGAUGAAGUAUAGGGGCUGACGCCUGCCCGGUGCUGGAAGGUUACGGGGAUCUGUUAACGGAAGUGAAGCAGUGAACUUAAGCCCCAGUAAACGGCGGCCGUAACUAUAACGGUCCUAAGGUAGCGAAAUUCCUUGUCGGGUAAGUUCCGACCCGCACGAAUGGCGUAAUGAUUUGGGCACUGUCUCAACAACGUACCCGGCGAAAUUGUAGUACUUGUGAAGAUGCAAGUUACCCGCGACAAGACGGAAAGACCCCAUGGAGCUUUACUGUAGCCUGAUACUGGGUUUCGGUAUUCUUUGUACAGGAUAGGUGGGAGAUAGGGAAGUGUGGACGCCAGUCUGCAUGGAAUCGCCGUUGGGAUACCACUCUAAGGGUACUGGGACUCUAACCUGAGGCCAUGAGCUGGUCUAGGGACACUGUCAGGUGGGCAGUUUGACUGGGGCGGUCGCCUCCUAAAAGGUAACGGAGGCGUCCAAAGGUUACCUCAGCGCGGUUGGAAAUCGCGCAUCGAGUGCAAAGGCAUAAGGUAGCCUGACUGUGAGACAGACAAGUCGAGCAGGUACGAAAGUAGGGCUUAGUGAUCCGGCGGUAAGAGAGUGGAAUUGCCGUCGCUCAACGGAUAAAAGCUACCCUGGGGAUAACAGGCUGAUCUCCCCCAAGAGUCCACAUCGACGGGGAGGUUUGGCACCUCGAUGUCGGCUCAUCGCAUCCUGGAGCUGAAGUAGGUUCCAAGGGUUUGGCUGUUCGCCAAUUAAAGCGGUACGCGAGCUGGGUUCAGAACGUCGUGAGACAGUUCGGUCCCUAUCUGUCGCGGGCGCAGGAUAUUUGAAGGGAUCUGUCCUUAGUACGAGAGGACCGGGAUGGACGAACCUCUGGUGCACCAGUUGUACUACCAAGUGCACAGCUGGGUAGCCAAGUUCGGACGGGAUAAACGCUGAAAGCAUCUAAGCGUGAAACCCACCCUAAGAUGAGAUAUCCCACCGAAAGGGUAAGACCCCAUGUAGACUACAUGGUUGAUAGGCCAGGGGUGUAAGUACAGUAAUGUAUUUAGCUGACUGGUACUAAUAGGUCGAGGGCUUGACCA
rnacentral:rRNA from 1 species